rnacentral:lncRNA from 1 species
UCAGAAGUGCUAGCUCGCAUGGAGAUCCUUUUGUUGGCUAAUCUAGAUCCUUCUUUGAACUACUUGGACACUUUCAGGAGGUGAAGGAGAACGUCUGGAGGUGAUGAGGUGAAAGGAAGAAAAGCAAAGAGGACACACUCUUCUCUCAAUUUUUCUCUCUUCCCAAAACCCUAUAGUCAGAACCCUAGGAAACCCACAA